rnacentral:rRNA from 1 species
UAAAGAAAGCGUAAUAGCUCACUGAUCGAGUCGUCCUGCGCGGAAGAUGUAACGGGGCUAAGCCAGUUACCGAAGCUGCGGAUUUGCAAUUUAUUGCAAGUGGUAGGAGAGCGUUCUGUAAGCCUGUGAAGGUGUCUUGUAAAGGAUGCUGGAGGUAUCAGAAGUGCGAAUGCUGACAUGAGUAGCGUUAAAGGGGGUGAAAAGCCCCCUCGCCGUAAGCGCAAGGUUUCCUACGCAACGUUCAUCGGCGUAGGGUGAGUCGGCUCCUAAGGCGAGGCAGAGAUGCGUAGCUGAUGGGAAACAGGUCAAUAUUCCUGUACCGAUUACAAGUGCGAUGUGGGGACGGAUCUUAAUAGGUUAUCCGGCGGUUGGAAGUGCCGGUUUAGACAGAUGUAGGCGACACGUAGGCAAAUCCGCGUGUCAUAUACCGAGGCUGUUGAUCGAGCGAGCUUGCUCGCGAAGUAACUGAACGAGGUCCCAGGAAAAGCCACUAAGCUUCAGCUUGUAAUUGACCGUACCGCAAACCGACACUGGUGCGCGAGAUGAGUAUUCUAAGGCGCUUGAGAGAACUCAGGAGAAGGAACUCGGCAAAUUGACACCGUAACUUCGGAAGAAGGUGUGCCCUAGUAGUGUGAUGAGAACAUCUGAGCACGAAAGGGUUGCAAAAAAUAGGUGGCUGCGACUGUUUAUUAAAAACACAGCACUCUGCAAACACGAAAGUGGACGUAUAGGGUGUGACGCCUGCCCGGUGCUGGAAGAUUAAUUGAUGGGGUGCAAGCUCUUGAUCGAAGUCCCAGUAAACGGCGGCCGUAACAAUAACGGUCCUAAGGUAGCGAAAUUCCUUGUCAGGUAAGUUCUGACCUGCACGAAUGGUGUAACGAUUUGGGCGCUGUCUCGGGGUGAAGCUCGGUGAAAUUGGAUUCCCGGUGAAGAUACCGGGUACCUACAGUAGGACGGAAAGACCCCGUGAACCUUUACUGUAACUUGACAUUGGGCUUUGAUAUAUUAUGUGUAGGAUAGGUGGGAGACUUUGAAGUAGGAAUGCUAGUUCUUAUGGAGUCAUCCUUGAAAUACCACCCUUAUUAUGUUGAGGUCCUAACGGGAAAAAUGAAUGUUUUUCUUGGACAUUGUCUGGCGGGCAGUUUGACUGGGGCGGUCGCCUCCUAAAGAGUAACGGAGGCGUACAAAGGUACCUUCAGCAUGUUUGGCAAUCAUGCGUAGAGUGUAAAAGCAAAAGGGUGCUUGACUGAGAGAGUGACAACUCGAACAGGGACGAAAGUCGGUUUUAGUGAUCCGGUGGUUCUGUGUGGAAGGGCCAUCGCUCAACGGAUAAAAGGUACUCCGGGGAUAACAGGCUGAUUCCGCCUAAGAGUUCAUAUCGACGGCGGAGUUUGGCACCUCGAUGUCGGCUCGUCGCAUCCUGGGGCUGUAGCAGGUCCCAAGGGUUAGGCUGUUCGCCUAUUAAAGCGGCACGCGAGCUGGGUUCAGAACGUCGUGAGACAGUUCGGUCCCUAUCCACUGUAGGCGCAAGAAAAUUGAAAGGAGCUGUUCCUAGUACGAGAGGACCGGAAUGGACGAACCUCUAGUGUAUCGGUUGUAUCGCCAGAUGCAACGCCGAGUAGCUAUGUUCGGAAAGGAUAACCGCUGAAUGCAUCUAAGUGGGAAGCCUCCCUUAAGAUUAAUUUUCUCUGAGACUCCUGGAAGACUACCAGGUUGAUAGGUUGUAGGUAUAAGUACAGUGAUGUAUUAAGCCGAGCAAUACUAAUUGGUCGAAAAAAAAAAAAAA